rnacentral:ncRNA from 1 species
GGUAUCAAAAUGCAAACCACUCCAAACGGUGGGACGCAAAAUCGCUGGCCCAAAUCCUGAGCUUUCAGGAUAUGUCGUAGGGCUGCCGGG